CCCAUCUGAGUCCACAACAGUGCGGGGUCCGGGAUCCCGGGGACGUAGCCGGGCAGCUCUCCCCGGACUCUCCCGGGCCGUGGCUGCACUAGAACUCCGCGGUGUUGCCCAGAUGCCCAGCCCCGCACUUCCCUUAGACGCGCGGCUCUCCGAGGGCACCUCGCGGCAGACGGGCUCCGCCUGGCCGUCGCCUGAACUGCCGCGGCGGGUGGCUGGAGGGACCCCAGGCUCAUCGCCUGCAGCUGUGCAGGGCACAGGUGGACCCGCUGCAGGAUGGGUUGGGGAGAGCCGGUGGGCAGACUUAAGAGGAAGCGUUGAGUCGUGGGUAGUUUUGCUGGGGAGCAAAAAAGGUCUGCGUCCUGGGCUAUAAGCUUCGUUGGUGCAGUUGCGGAAAUCACAGUUGGCGGAGGCAGGGGUGAGUGGGAGCAGGGAUGGUGUAAAUCGGGAUCACAGCGGAGGCCUAGCCAGGAAAGCACUGAGCUUGCAGGAGGCGGGAGACUCUUGGUGUUUACGGAGCACUUCCUGUGGUCCAGAUUCUGUUGGGCGUUGGGUGUUGAUAAGAAGAUGAACGGAACAUCCUUAAGAAUCCUUAAGGAGCAGAUGAGUGAGUGAGAUGAUUAAUUACAGUGUAUCAGAAGGGCUGAAAUUGAGAUGCUUCCUAGGGGGCGCUAGUGGUAAAGAACCCGCUUGCCAGUAGAGACGUAGGAGAACUGGGUUCGAUCCCUGGGUCGGGAAGAUCCCCUGGAGGAGGGCAUGGCUACCCAUUUCAGUUUUCUUGCCUGGAGAAUCCCAUGGACAGAGGAACCUAGCAGGCUACAGUCCACAGGGUCGCACAGUGUCGGACACGACUGGAGCGACUUAGCACAUGCAGGCACUGUACAGUAGGACCAUGGGUUAUUGAGGUUCCAUAGUGUGCUUUGCAUUUAAUAACUGUGCAGGCAGCUCUAAUUCUUAGCCAUCUAGCUAGAUGCAAGAAUUUAUGUGAAAAUGUUUUAUAAGCCUGGACACAUUGGACCAAUGUAAAGUGCUAUGCGACAGCAAUUUAUGGAAAUGUGUAACAUAAUAUUUAUGCACAGUCAUAGGAAUUGUAUUUAAGGAACAAUUGUUAUUGAGCUAUUAUAGGUCAAGGAGAAAAGCUCUGUUUGAGAUGGGCAGGAUGAUUUUUUUCCCAGGACUUCUUUUCCAGACCUAUUAAGCUGGGAUUGGGAUAGUGGAGGUGAGGGGCUUAAGUGCAAAGCUUAAGUCAGUAGCUUGACCAUUAAUACUGCUAUGUCCUUAUUUGGUUCAUAAUUGAGGAAUUUAUUUAUUUUCAUAUUUUAAAGUUACUUAAUUGUAUUUUAUUUGUUGCUUCCUAAAGUAAUGAUCACAGUAACAAUAACAAAAAUUCGUUGAGAAGAGAACACCUUGACAUUUCUGUAAACUAUGUGGUUGAAAACAAUUCAUUCCUUUCAAGUAAUGAAAUGCUGAAGGCUUCAGCGUUGAAAGGAGGUUUGGGGAAGGGCUGUAUGUCAGAGCCCUGAGCCUGAAAACAUUUGGCCCAUGUGAAUGCCACAGCAGAGGACGUUCUUAAUCAGACAGCAUGGCCUGCUUUGUGGAUAGCAGUAAGUUCUUCUUCAGAGAGCCUGGUGCUUGCUCAAGGGCUCGAGAACAGAGCGACCGUGGAGACAGGGAUGGAGGCUGGUGCCUGGACCUCAACAGUGCAGACUUCCUCUCACCACGGCCAUCGUGGCUUCUACUGUUGCAGUUUGUAAGGGAUCCUGAGUUCCCCAAAUGGCAGCACACGUCUGGGGACAGCCAGCUGGCCAACUGGGUUGGGUUUUUAUUUUAGACCCUUUUGUCAUGAAGGGAUCACUGAUUUGUUCUCAUUGGAACACUCAUGUUUUUCACUGCACUUGGAUUUGCCUUUUCUACUUGUGCUGCGUCUCUUGAGACCGUAUGAAAUCUUCUGUGAAGGCAUGGUAUUCCUCUCAAGGUUGCCUCUGACCUUCAGAGAGAGGGAAGUGAAGCAGUGGGCUGGUUAAUACCUAUGGUUUGACUGCUCUUGAUUUAUGCUGUCAUUUGAAGCAGCUGAUUUCAUAGACGUGGUUCUUAAACUUCAGUCUCAGAAUUCCUUUACUCUCUUAAAAAUUAUAAAUUAUUUCCUAGGAGGGUUUUUAAAAAAAUGUACUUAGGACCCUGAAGAGGUGUAAAGGAAACCAUAACCACAUAAAUAAUAUGGUUAUAUUUGUUGAUUUUGCUGCUUAAAAAUAUAAAUUGAUAAGUUUUGAAAUUAUGUAUGUUGGCCAUCCGUGGAUCAAAAAAUUUUCAGGGGACAGAAAGAUUACAGAAAGUUCCAAAAAGCAAAACUUGAAUUUUCGGUGUGAAGGCAACUAUUUAUAGACCAUUUAACUUUUAUUUACAACUAUUUCCAUACAUUUAUGGGGGUUCCCUGGUGGCUCAGACGUAAAGAAUACACUUGCAAUGCAGGAGACCUGGGUUCAAUCUCUGGUUUGGGAAGAUCCCUUGGAGAAGGGAUUGGCAACCCACUCCAGUAUUCUUGCCUAACAUACAUUUACAUUGUAUUAGAUUCUAGAGAUGAUUUAUUUAAAGUAUAUGAAAGGAUGUGUCUAGGUUCUGUGCAAAUAAGAUGCCAUUUUACAUAAGGGACUUGAGUAUCUGUGGAUUUUAUUAUUGACAGGGUCCUGAAACCAGUCCACAGCAGAUACCAACGGAUGGCAGGAUUUAAACAUAAUAAAUCAUUACAUUUUGACAAGGAUUUUAAUGAAGUGGAUUAUAUUCUCAAAGCAAAAGAAAACUUACUGAGAAAACUUGCUUGUUUUACAUUUUUGAAUAUCUCUUUAAUGUCUGGCUUAGUAGAAGACCCACAGAUUCUCAUCGCUGCUCCUGCAUUUAGUGUAUUGUAAAAUCAUACUUCAUUUAGCUUUUAGAAGACUCCACUGUGUGCUAUGAGAGGAAGAGAAGAGAACAGACGAAAAAUGUCUUAUUAUCAAAAUAGUUUUGACCUUGUGGGCCUCCUGAAAGGGCUUCUGAGUCCCUGGACCAUCCUUUGAGAGCCUCUGUUGUAAAACACUGUACAUGUCUUAUAACAUUUGGAGAGUCUGGGGUUUCUUCUUUAAUGUUUGUUGUGACCCACAGAUAAUAUUUGGCUUUGGUUUUCGCAUAAUCUGCCAGGAUGUAUUGGGAUCAGGAACUAAAGUAUAGUGUUAGUGCUUGUCUGUUAAGAUGACUCACUUCUCACUCUGGCUGGUUCUGGUUGUUUAAGAGUCAAAGGAUUUGGAUGGUGAUUAACCUUGAUUUUCAAAGGAAAGUAAGAGCCAUUUUCUACUUAUUUGUUACCAUAAUAUAUGUUGAUUGAAAUUUAUUAUUCAGUAGAUAAUAUUUACUAUCAUUUACUAAGCAAUGGCAGGGGCUUCCCAGGUGGCACCUAGUGGUAAAGAACCCACCUACCAGUGCAGGAGACAUAAGAGAUGUGGGUUCGAUUCCUGGGUUGGGAAUAUCCCCUGGAGAAGGAAAUGGCAACCCACUCCAGUUUUCUUGCCUGGGAAAUCCCAUGGACAGAGGACCCUGGAGGGCUACCGUCCAUAGGGUCGCAAAGAGUCGGACAUGACUGAAGUGACUUAGCACGCACUAAGCAGUGAUAGGCAUGAUUUUAAGCACUUUACCUUAUGUACUGCUUCAUUUAGUUCUCAUAAUGACUCUAAAACAGUGCGUCCAUUAUGUUCCUUAUAAGCACAGAUAGGGACUAGAGAGCUUUUAUACCUUUGUAGACUGUGAAUUGGUGUGCUCCUUUGGAGGACAAUUUGGUAAGUACCUAGCAAAACUGAGCACUUUGAUUAUUUUUACUCUAUUUUAGGGGAUUCUGACAAAUAAAAAUAACAUUGGUUGCACAAGGAUACUUAGAAUCACGUUUUGGUGAUGAAAAGAAAGGGAGAGAGAAUUUUAAUGUCCAUUAACAGGGACUGGUUAAUUAUGCUGCAGCCAUAUUGUAGAAUACCGCGUGGCUGUUAAGACUGAAGUGGAUCUGUUUCUGCAGAUGUGGAUGGAUGUCAAUAACACAUUACUGGGUAAAUAAAGUUGUAGAACAAUGUAUGUAUUUGAAAAUCUUUUUGUAUAUGUGCCUGUGUAUAGCAAAUUUCUGGAAGAACAUCCUUCCAGAUGUUAGAAUCGUAAGAAUUAUCUUAUGAUUACUUUUGGAGAGUGAGAUUUGGAGGGGGAGAAGAUAUCCCUUGGUCCUUUAUAUAUUUUGUAUUUUUCAAAGCUUGUAUCAUUUUUUGUAAUUAGAGAUUUGAAUAAACUUUGAGAAAAUCUUA